rnacentral:lncRNA from 1 species
UAGCUACAUAGGAUUAGAACUAGAAGGAGUCAAUCUUCGGUUGGUUUCCGGAUCUGUCAAGAGGAUUCUUGGUAAUUCUCUCAUUGUGCUUCUAAUUGCUUUCUAAUUAUCUUUGUUCUUCAAUAUUAUGAAUAUGACUUUGUUCUACUUCAAUAUAUUGCUUAUGACUUUGCUCUACUUGUUUAUAUUCAAGAUUAUAUUGUUCUUAGUUUAUCAUAGUUAUGUACUUGGCUUAGUUAGAUUGGAUCUAUAUACAUGCUUAGGAUCGUAUAGCGUUUAUCCAUCGGAUCCUUGGGUAAAUGAUAGAUAUUGUGUAGGCGUGGUGCUUUUACCGUAUUUAUCUGCGAUUGUACCCAAUCUGCC